ensembl:snRNA U6 U6 spliceosomal RNA
CUGCUUUGGUAGUAGAUACCCUACAAUUGGAAAGAUACAGAGAUUAGCAAGGCCUCAGUACAGGCUGACACAGAUUCACGAAGGGUUCCAUAUUUUU